UCUUUAUGCAGCUAAGGACAAGAAGGUC
rnacentral:piRNA from 1 species